rnacentral:rRNA from 1 species
UACGUAGGGGGCAAGCGUUGUCCGGAUUUAUUGGGCGUAAAGAGCGUGUAGGCGGCUAGGUAGGUCCGUUGUGAAAACUCGAGGCUCAACCUCGAGACGUCGAUGGAAACCAUCUAGCUAGAGUCCGGAAGAGGAGAGUGGAAUUCCUGGUGUAGCGGUGAAAUGCGCAGAUAUCAGGAAGAACACCGAUAGCGAAGGCAGCUCGCUGGGACGGUACUGACGCUAAGGCGCGAAAGCGUGGGGAGCGAACAGG